CGAUGAAGCCCAGCUUGCUGGGUGGAUUAGUGGCGAACGGGUGAGUAACACGUGAGUAACCUGCCCUUAACUCUGGGAUAAGCCUGGGAAACUGGGUCUAAUACCGGAUAGGAGCGUCCACCGCAUGGUGGGUGUUGGAAAGAUUUAUCGGUUUUGGAUGGACUCGCGGCCUAUCAGCUUGUUGGUGAGGUAAUGGCUCACCAAGGCGACGACGGGUAGCCGGCCUGAGAGGGUGACCGGCCACACUGGGACUGAGACACGGCCCAGACUCCUACGGGAGGCAGCAGUGGGGAAUAUUGCACAAUGGGCGAAAGCCUGAUGCAGCGACGCCGCGUGAGGGAUGACGGCCUUCGGGUUGUAAACCUCUUUCAGUAGGGAAGAAGCGAAAGUGACGGUACCUGCAGAAGAAGCACCGGCUAACUACGUGCCAGCAGCCGCGGUAAUACGUAGGGUGCGAGCGUUAUCCGGAAUUAUUGGGCGUAAAGAGCUCGUAGGCGGUUUGUCGCGUCUGUCGUGAAAGUCCGGGGCUUAACCCCGGAUCUGCGGUGGGUACGGGCAGACUAGAGUGCAGUAGGGGAGACUGGAAUUCCUGGUGUAGCGGUGGAAUGCGCAGAUAUCAGGAGGAACACCGAUGGCGAAGGCAGGUCUCUGGGCUGUAACUGACGCUGAGGAGCGAAAGCAUGGGGAGCGAACAGGAUUAGAUACCCUGGUAGUCCAUGCCGUAAACGUUGGGCACUAGGUGUGGGGACCAUUCCACGGUUUCCGCGCCGCAGCUAACGCAUUAAGUGCCCCGCC
rnacentral:rRNA from 1 species